UUCCUACGGGAGGCUGCAGUGAGGAAUUUUCCGCAAUGGGCGCAAGCCUGACGGAGCGACGCCGCGUGAGGGAUGAAGGCUUUCGGGUUGUAAACCUCUUUUGUUUGGGAAAAAGGUCCGCGUGCUCAUACCACGUGGAUUUGAUGGUACUAAGCGAAUAAGCCCCGGCUAACUACGUGCCAGCAGCCGCGGUCAUACGUAGGGGGCGGGGGUUGUCCGGAAUUACUGGGCGUAAAGGGCGUGUAGGCUGGUGGGUAAGUCUGGUGUGAAAUGCUACGGCGCAACCGUGGCACUGCGCUGGAAACUGCCAGACUGGAGUGCAGGAGGGGUCACUGGAAUCCCCGGUGUAACGGUGAAAUGUGUAGAUAUCGGGGGGAACACCUGUGGCGAAGGCGGGUGACUGGCCUGCAACUGACGCUGAGACGCGAAAGCGUGGGGAGCAAACAGGAUUAGAUACCCCUGUAGUCGC
rnacentral:rRNA from 1 species